AUGCUGAGUGGACUGCACAGAGGGACCCCGCUGACCCUUGAGAGACUAAGAUCAUCCUUAAGAAGAAGAGGAAAAAGAAGAUCCUGGAUGAGCUCCUUCAGGAUGAAGUCACAUAAGCAACUCCUGCUGCUUGGUCUCAUCAGUGUGCACAUUCCUGUGUGGACUUCCACUCUACCUCCAACUGCUGGGGCAGAGGCCUUCCCAAGAGCACAGAAUACCUGAGGAGGAAGGAGGAAGCAGUGGGGAUACUCUUUCCAUGGAGACUCUGCCUGCUUCUGGCUUGAAAUAUGAGCCAGCUCUCAGCUCAAAAUAUUUGAAUUACCAGUGACAUGCCUGUACUUAUCUUGAAGAGGGGUAGACUUAGAAUCAUGCUUUUCUGUGUGAACAAAGGUUUCCCUUGAGAAUAAGUCACUACCCACUGUGAGAAUCCACAUCCCUAGAUUGGCCUCAUCUUAUUCUCUCUCUGAAUCAGUUCUUAAUUUAUUUGCUAUGAAAUAGCCAGAGAAAUAAUGAUUAUGUGUUUGCGUGAGUAUACACACACAUAAUCAUCAUUUCCAUGCUCAUAUGUAUUUCUAUUCUUGGAGGGACAGUGUUGCAAGUGUCUAUUUAGCUCUUGACUUGGGUGCUGAGUUAGCUGAGGAUUUCUCUCCAUUGUCUUUGAGAGGAAACAGCUCCUCUGCUGAGGGAGAUCCAUUCUAUCUUGGAGACAGUAGGCAGGAAGGAAAGGAGUGGCUGAGAGUGGGAGUCGGGGUGGAUGGAUAGUGUGAAAGGAAGAUCGUUGGAGCCUUCAUCAGCAGUUGGUAGAUGACCCUGGAAGAGAAGGGAAGGCAGAUAGCAAAAGGGCAAUCAGGCGGGGAAAUGGACUCUGACAUGUGUCCUCAGGACUCUUCCAGGAAAUGGGGAUUUGAAAGAAUCACAGACAGUGCAAACCCUAAAAACUCUGUGUGAUUCCACAUGAAAGCCACUGUCUGUGACAGCAAAUGCCAGGCCCUAACUUUGGGUGACCUUUAAAUGUGUCUCUUGAAUAGUAAACUUUAAUAGAGUCUGACUUGGUUUCUUUUCCCCUCAAAUAAAGCAUUGUUUUGUUGAGAGAAUGAGAGAAGAGAGAGAGGUGAAUACGAUCCUCAAAACUUUUUAAGCAGACAGAGCUGGAGGGCCAGGUUUGCUUUGCUAAAAAUAGUUCCUCACAUGGUAACUAUGGGGAAUUCCCUGAUGGUCCAGUGGUUAGGAAUCGGUGCUUUCACUGCUUGGUCCCCAGGUUAAAUGCUUGUUGGGGAGCUAAGAUCUUGCAAUCUUAUGUGGUGGGGCAGGAAAAAAACAGUAACUAUUAUUGAAUAUGAACAUGUUGGCUGAUGGGAUUGAAAGAAUGACAUGAGAAUGUUAUGCACUCACAAACGAGUUCCAUAGGCUCCAUCUGGCCAUAGGUUUAGUGUCCCUUUCUUUUCUUGUUACCCACUGACCAUCAGAGGUUAGAUUACCAAAGGAAUGUUGGAGCUAUUUGGAGGUGAAUGGGCUGGAGGUGGUGGGUAGCAGGAUGGGAAGGAGGGGGAGAGAUGACUGGCAGUGCACCUAUGAAAGGCAGGUCUUGGGACUCAUGUAGCUUUUUACCCAAUCCUACCAGGUGACCUGACAAUCUUCUUUUAAGUCUCAGGCUAACCGGUCUCAAUCUGAGCUCACAUUGCCCCAGGCUAAAGAUCAUUUCUCAAGCCAUGGGUCACUGACUCCUAAUUAUGGUUCUGUCCUGCCCCAUGGAAGUCUGUAAAACAGCCUGAACUCUAAAACUAGUGACUUAGUCACUGGGAUACAUAAGCAAACCCACCUGAAACUUGGGAGGUAGGGAAUGUGGGAGUAGCAGUGAUCAGAUAAAUGGGUAUCUGUUGGGAAGUUAAUUGUUUGCCAUAACCAAGAUGAUGUGAAUCAGUCAUUCAGCCAGAUUUUCAUACAAUGUGACCAAAAUGUACCUCAUGCUGUGUUGCUGGGGCACAGUGCCUCCUCUUCCAAUCCAUUAUCCAACAGCUGUCAGAGCCAUCUAGAACAUUAAUCGGAUGAUACCACAUUCUACAUAGAACCAGUUUUCCUAAUCUCUUAUUCAAGGACUUUGAUCUUGUCCCUGUCUACCUCUCCAGGCUCUUUCUAAACACAUUAUAUUUCUUAUUUUAUGCUGCUUGUAGAUUCUCAGACAUGUGCUUCUGUUUUAUGUGUCCGUUUCUUUCUUUAUUCAAGAAAUGCCUUCCUACCUACCUCUUUUUUUCAAUAAUAUCCUUCAAAUCCCCAAUUUCCUUCUUUUUUAUAACACCAUUUGUUUAGCUCUUUUUAAAACAUUUAAGAAUAUUAAUAUUAUUAUAUGUCUGUGUCCCCACCUAUGUUCGCAGCACAGUUAACAAUCUUAGGCCUAGAGUCCAUGUUAUGUGAAUUUGAAUUGGGACUUUGAGAAAGAUCCUGCCUUUGUAUGGUUGGAUCAGUAACAUAUGCUUAGGGAUUACCUGAAGCUAUGUUUUCUAACAUAUUGUUCCCCUAAAUAGGGGAAACUGAUUUGAAAAGAACAAUGGGAGUGUUAAAGCAGUCAAUUCCUCAGACACAGCUAUAUUUCUUUCAUUUCUAUAUCUUAUAAUUAAGUCACCAUUUAUGCUUAAGCCACUCAACUGGUUUUAUGUUGCUUCCAACUAAGAGUUCUAACCAAUACAGUCUAGGGUUUAGUAAGUGGUAGAUGACAUUUGUUGAACUGGGCUCCAGUGGGAAGUCUUGAUUUCUGCCCUAAUGGAGCUUCUUACCACUCUACUUUAGGAAGAAGAAAAGUAACCAAUGUGAAACCCUUGGAUAACAAUACACAGCUCCAUAUCAUUAAGCCUCCGGUCUUGGGAUGUAGACUGUUAGCGUUAUAGGGAUGCUGACAAAAGUUUGUUCAGGUCAGAGUGGGGUUAACCAGGAAAAGCUUCCUGAAGGUUGCAGAACUUGGCUUGCUCUCAAAGAAUAGGUAGAAUUUGCCUUUGACCUAUGGUGUUCCAAAAGAAAGGUUCCAGAAGGACCCCUUGCAGACCUCAAAGGCCCUAGAUGAGCCUAGAUGAUUAUGAUCCUGGCAGAUAUCCAAGCAACUUCAGAAUCACUAAAAAUAAGAAUCCUCCAAUGGGCUGUAUCUUGACUGUGCCAAAAGGGACUUUGAACAGAAAUUAUCCAAUGCUUAAUGGGCCUAACAGUGAUGAAUAAUGUGGGACACCUUGGAGGAGCCCUAGGAAGCUGAAGAAUAAGCUGUAGUUGUUAUUUUAUGAACCUCUCUGUGUACCUGGAGGAUGACCCCAGUGAUUCUUAAUCUAAAUGGUGGGACUAAAUGACAACAGUUAGCUAGGCAUUGCUAACUCUGAAUUGGUAUUUGUGAUUUUGAAAGUUCCUGUGCAGAAGGAAAAGCUCUCUCUUCUAUUUCCUUUUUUCAUGUCAUUAGAUCUGCUAGGCCCAGCUUCCUUCAUGUGACCUGAGAAGAUGGUAUGGAGUGCUUACAUGGGCACCAAAUGGCUGGUUUGUUUACUGCUGUUAAAUUGCAUAGUCUAUGAAGGCCAUUUGCUUUCCUUCCUUGCCACAUGGAUUUGAAACCUUAGAUCUGAGGGAAAAAAGACCCGUUUGCCCUAGAUUUGGUGGUGUCCUAGGAAACAAAGCUUUAUGCUGCUCUUAGCUCAGCAGCAUGAAGAUUUAUUUGAUGUAAAAAAAAAAAAGGUAUGCAUUUGCUCUUCUUUCAGGUUACUAUAUGUAAUGGAGUUACUGCAUAUAAAAUCUUGAUAAUAUUUUCUAUUGCCGGGAAGU
rnacentral:lncRNA from 1 species